CCCAACUCUCUCCCUCUCUCUCCCCUCUGUCGUGGUCGUGCCUUCUACUCCUCUACUCAAAGACGAGCUCAACAUCAUCAUCCCCACCAUCAGGAACUUGGAUUUCUUGGAGAAUAUGGAAGUCGUUCUUCCAGCCAUACCAUCCGAUGAUCGUCCAAGAUGGAUAUAUGAUUUUUUUUUUUCAAGGUCCCUGAGGGAUUCAACUACGAGCUCUAUAACCAUGAUGACAUCAAUCGGAUCUUAGGUCCCAAAGCGUCUUGCAUCUCCUUCAAGGACUCUCCACCAAUAGAAGAAUCUCCCAAUCUUCAAGAUCUGUUAAUGUGAGAUUUGGUGUUCUAGAGGCUGGAGCCUUUGGUGUUUCUCAGUCUAGGAAACGAGCAUUCAUAUGGGCAGCUUCUCCAGAAGAGACUCCCAGAGUGGCCAGAGCCAAUGCAUGUCUUUGCAGGCCCAGAACUGAAAAUCACAUUACCAGGGGAUGUACAAUAUGCUGCCGUCAGGAGUACAGCGGGAGGGGCACCCUUCCGUGCAAUAACUGUGAGAAACACAAUUGGAGAUCUCCCACCUGUUGGAAAUGGAGCAUCUAAAACAGAGAUGGAUGUUAAACUGUCUACUGGUCAAAUGGUGGAUUGGAAACCUUGGUGCUUGCAACAGAGCAGAGCUCGAUAAAUGCUUGCAUGAAUGGAAAGAAUCAGGUGUCUGUGAUAUGAAAGAAGUGGAGAUCAAGUUACCAUAACAUAAUUCAAAAUGUUCAACUGUUCCUUCUCCACAGCAUAGUAUUAAUUUGAGUUACUUGUAUGCCACAUUUAUCAACCAUCACAUCUUGCCAAAGUUGUUAUGCCUGAAAGCUACCUCUGCAGAAAUACUUUACAGCUACAUGAAUACAGAACUGAUCCUUAUCCAUUUGUCUUAACAAUAGUGAGAUUGAGGAAAGUGAACUCUCUGAUGCAAGCUCAACAAAUUUGAAAGAAGAUGGAUCUUCACCAUCCCUAACUCUGAUCAGAAAGCAGGUUUCAAAGUUUAAAGAUCCUCGUGAUGCAUGUGCUGCAAUUGUUGCUGAAUCAUAUCGUCUUUUCUUCCAUGAUCCGGUUUACGAGUCUCAUUGUUCCUAUUUGGCUAGUCAUGUAUUUUAUUUUAAGUAACCAUUUUCAAUUCCAUGCCAGACAAGUGGGUCUCACAUUUCAACAAUCUAUUUAUUGGGCUGUUGAGUCUCACCGUGGAUGGAGAAUGCCCAAAAAAUCUCUCACAUUGGAUUUUUUUCAGUUGAAUAUGGACCAUUGUUCAAUUUCUCUUCUUAAGUGCUUCUGUAGGCUACAAAUUAGCAGAUUAAGAUUGCCCUAUCAGUGGGAUUUUUAAGGCAUAGUCCAAUUGCUGAUGGGUAAAAUUGAUCAAAGGUAUGGAUUCUGAUCCACACAACCCACUUGUCUGAGUUGAAAGCCUGUGUAUACCAUGCAAAGAUGCAGGCCACAUAUCCUGUAAUUCCUCAAUUAUGGCAGUUAGCUUAAUUGAUAUUAAACUUGGAUAUGCAGGCCACAUAUUCUGUGAUUCCUCAAUAACUGAAUAGAGUUUUUUGUCUCUUUCUUUUUGGUUCUUUUCUCACGAUAGGCGGGCCUAUCGUCUUUUGUUGGGUAGGCCCGCCCAAAAUAUCUCUUUGUACAUUCCUUGCCAUUAAUGGAAAAGAGAGUUCUUUUUAAAUAAAUAAAAAAAGGUUCAAGAGGCUUUGUGGGGGCCUUUUCUGUUGCUAGUCAAGGAGUAGCUCUUGGUGUUUGUCCCAUGCUUGCUACAGGUUCUUAAUACGCCUAUUUGAUGAAAUAAAAUGCCUUUCUUACAUGUUUUCUUCUACUUGCGGAUGUGGUAACGUCUUCUGAAUUCAACCCUACUCAGUGGCACUUAAACUUAUAUUAGAAGUAAAUAAAUAUUCAACAACUAUUGACAGGUGCUUAUUGGGCUGUAGAAUGGCUGAACUGCUAAGUAACAAUUAUUCAAUGGGAAAACUGAAUUCGACCAGCUUGACAAGUUUCUCUGGCAUUUCUCGGAUUCUACUGAAGUACAACAAAGAGCGAAGGUGUAAAGUGGAGCGGUUAAGAGAGAGAGACUUACUGAUGCCACCAUAAGUAAUUGCAAGUCGGCUUGCCUUGGUCCGUGAUGUAGGUGUUAUGUUCCCAUGCACAUCUAGAAAUCUCUCCUCCUUGCGUUCUGAUAUUGGGAGGUCACAUAGAAGAUCAUGAAUACAGCAUGUUUCAACCGUUCCAUUGCUCUCCCUUAUUGACACCUGAAUCAUGCUUCUACUGAUGAGCUCGUCAAGGUAUUUGAUAUCAAUGUUCAGUUACAUUGUUGCUUUGUGGAAUAAAACUGCAAAUCUCAUAUAAAAGAGAGGAUAUGUGGCUAUUAAAGACUUUUUUCUUCACUUUGAAACUGGACUUUAUGGAGGAUGCCUUUUCUUAGGUUUGAGACAUGUCCUACCAUUUCUUUACUUAGUUCUUAUUGAGAUUAAUGCCCCUAAAAUUGAUUUAUCAGAUUUUAUUAUGCCUUUCUUUUAAUAAAAGAUGUUUGAGAUCCUAUCUUGAUCUCUGUAAGUUUAUUUGCUGAUUUGUUGUUUAUGGAUCUUGAACUGUGGUUAGUUUAUAGCCGGUAGAUAUGCUAUACCAGCUCUGAUCAGAAAGCAGGUAGAUAUGCUAUACCAGCUCAUAAAUUCACCAGUACAAUGGUUAGUCUUGUAAAAUAUGUGGAAUGUUUUUUUGAAGUUCUGUUUUCUUGUAGUGUGUAUCAUAUGAUGUGUGGCUCCAAUGUUCGGAUACCAAUUAGACUCAGUCGAGGAGUCAAGAGUCAUAGCAGUCAUUGAGUAAUAGGUCUGUGGAAAAUGAUCAUAACUGGUAAGAGCAGUGUCUCCUUGCUGGCCACACACCAGACAGGUCACCUGACAGCGGCCAGAAGAACGAAGAAAGCAAAAGCUAUGCCCAACAGAAUGUGUUAUGGCUGAUAUGGGACCUGAAGACCAAUGUCAAGAGGAGAUCGACUUAGGUUAGUUCAGCUUUAUGAAAAUGUGUCUAUCAAAAAUAACCUUUAGCCUAGUUAGUCUGACAUGAUUGAUGUCUGAUAUAACUGCAUGCUGGAGACAACAAAAGCCAUUGGCAUCUUCGUGCAGGACAACAAUCUUGAAGCAUCUGCCUCGUGGCAUACCUGAAGCAGUUAUUUCCAGGUCAUGGUUAUCCAAAUUAAAGGAGUGAAGGAUUUAAAGAUACUUGAAAUUGAUCUGUCUGAUCAUCAGUGAAAGUCAGUGGGCCAUGCCAAAUACUAUUUUAGGUCCCACUAUUAUAAUGCUAUAAAUUUUUGGCCUGCAGGGAAUAGAUUUGUUAGCAGGAGUGGAAGCAGUCAUAAACCAUUAGUAGUGAAGGAUUUCCAGAUCCCUUGUGCUCAUGCACCUGCAUUGGCACCUCUUCCUCUAAGCUCAUCCUUAUUCCCAAGAUCUGCUGCUGAAGAGGUUUGUAGAUCUCUCAUUUCAAUAUAUCAGAAAUGAGUAAGGACCA